rnacentral:rRNA from 1 species
UACAGAGGGUGCAAGCGUUACUCGGAAUUACUGGGCGUAAAGCGCGCGUAGGUGGUUUGUUAAGUUGGAUGUGAAAGCCCCGGGCUCAACCUGGGAACUGCAUCCAAAACUGGCAAGCUAGAGUACGGUAGAGGGUGGUGGAAUUUCCUGUGUAGCGGUGAAAUGCGUAGAGAUCGGAAAGAACACCAACGGCGAAAGCACUCUGCUGGGCCGACACUGACACUGAGAGACGAAAGCUAGGGGAGCGAAUGGG